UAUUCUUACAGACCCACGCCACUAAGAAGUGCAAAAAGUGUUACAAGAUCAGGAGAUGAACGAAAAUGAUUUUGAUUCAUUAGAGUUUGUUACCAACCAUUCAAAAUGUUCAUAUGCCGCGUACACGUUACAAGUAAAAAAGUUGUAUGGGGACAAGGAUUGCGAUGAUUUAGCCGUGUAGUAGAGUCUGCUUCUUGAGUGUAAGGGUCGUAAGAUGUUCGACAUAGGAUCUUCUAAUCCUGUUUUUGUGGUGAUUAGAAAACCAUCUUCCAGAACUUGCGGGUCAUACGAUGAUGCCCCGACAGUCGCAUGAGCUUCAAAAAGUUCAAGCGGAAUUAGAAAGAGAACGAGAGGCCCGACAAAACAUGGAAUCCCGUUUCGAACAAUUUCAACAAGAGCGCGAAAAAGAGCGGGCCGACCAAGCGGCAUGGCAAAAAACUAUGGAAGACAAGCUGAAAAACAUCGGAAAUAAGUAAACUCUCGUCUUGUUAAGUAUUGGAAUGUUAAAGGUCGGAUUAGUGCUUUUAAUUAGGAUUUUUUGUGCGUUUUGGAAUGUUUUAAAAUUUUUGGAAUGUUUGGAAU